rnacentral:rRNA from 1 species
UACGGAGGGUGCAAGCGUUGUCCGGAUUUAUUGGGUUUAAAGGGUGCGUAGGCGGCCCUGUAAGUCAGUGGUGAAAUGCUGCAGCUUAACUGUAGCAUUGCCAUUGAUACUGUAGGGCUUGAGUACAGAUGAGGUAGGCGGAAUUGAUGGUGUAGCGGUGAAAUGCAUAGAUACCAUCAAGAACACCGAUUGCGAAGGCAGCUUACUAGCUGUAACUGACGCUGAGGCACGAAAAGCGUGGGGGAUC